UGGGGAAUAUUGCACAAUGGGGGAAACCCUGACCGAGCAACGCCGCGUGAGUGAAGAAGGUUUUCGGAUCGUAAAGCUCUGUUGUUAAGGAAGAACGAGUGUGAGAAUGGAAAGUUCAUGCUGUGACGGUACUUAACCAGAAAGGGACGGCUAACUACGUGCCAGCAGCCGCGGUAAUACGUAGGUCCCGAGCGUUGUCCGGAUUUAUUGGGCGUAAAGCGAGCGCAGGCGGUUAGAAAAGUCUGAAGUGAAAGGCAGUGGCUCAACCAUUGUAGGCUUUGGAAACUGUUUAACUUGAGUGCAGAAGGGGAGAGUGGAAUUCCAUGUGUAGCGGUGAAAUGCGUAGAUAUAUGGAGGAACACCGGUGGCGAAAGCGGCUCUCUGGUCUGUAACUGACGCUGAGGCUCGAAAGCGUGGGGAGCGAACAGG
rnacentral:rRNA from 1 species